rnacentral:rRNA from 1 species
GAUGAACGCUGGCGGCGUGCCUAAUACAUGCAAGUCGAGCGAACGGACGAGAAGCUUGCUUCUCUGAUGUUAGCGGCGGACGGGUGAGUAGCACGUGGAUAACCUACCUAUAAGACUGGGAUAACUUCGGGAAACCGGAGCUAAUACCGGAUAAUAUUUUGAACCGCAUGGUUCAAAAGUGAAAGACGGUCUUGCUGUCACUUAUAGAUGGAUCCGCGCUGCAUUAGCUAGUUGGUAAGGUAACGGCUUACCAAGGCAACGAUGCAUAGCCGACCUGAGAGGGUGAUCGGCCACACUGGAACUGAGACACGGUCCAGACUCCUACGGGAGGCAGCAGUAGGGAAUCUUCCGCAAUGGGCGAAAGCCUGACGGAGCAACGCCGCGUGAGUGAUGAAGGUCUUCGGAUCGUAAAACUCUGUUAUUAGGGAAGAACAUAUGUGUAAGUAACUGUGCACAUCUUGACGGUACCUAAUCAGAAAGCCACGGCUAACUACGUGCCAGCAGCCGCGGUAAUACGUAGGUGGCAAGCGUUAUCCGGAAUUAUUGGGCGUAAAGCGCGCGUAGGCGGUUUUUUAAGUCUGAUGUGAAAGCCCACGGCUCAACCGUGGAGGGUCAUUGGAAACUGGAAAACUUGAGUGCAGAAGAGGAAAGUGGAAUUCCAUGUGUAGCGGUGAAAUGCGCAGAGAUAUGGAGGAACACCAGUGGCGAAGGCGACUUUCUGGUCUGUAACUGACGCUGAUGUGCGAAAGCGUGGGGAUCAAACAGGAUUAGAUACCCUGGUAGUCCACGCCGUAAACGAUGAGUGCUAAGUGUUAGGGGGUUUCCGCCCCUUAGUGCUGCAGCUAACGCAUUAGGCACUCCGCCUGGGGAGUACGACCGCAAGGUUGAAACUCAAAGGAAUUGACGGGGACCCGCACAAGCGGUGGAGCAUGUGGUUUAAUUCGAAGCAACGCGAAGAACCUUACCAAAUCUUGACAUCCUUUGACAACUCUAGAGAUAGAGCUUUCCCCUUCGGGGGACAAAGUGACAGGUGGUGCAUGGUUGUCGUCAGCUCGUGUCGUGAGAUGUUGGGUUAAGUCCCGCAACGAGCGCAACCCUUAAGCUUAGUUGCCAUCAUUAAGUUGGGCACUCUAAGUUGACUGCCGGUGACAAACCGGAGGAAGGUGGGGAUGACGUCAAAUCAUCAUGCCCCUUAUGAUUUGGGCUACACACGUGCUACAAUGGACAUUACAAAGGGCAGCGAAACCGCGAGGUCAAGCAAAUCCCAUAAAGUUGUUCUCAGUUCGGAUUGUAGUCUGCAACUCGACUACAUGAAGCUGGAAUCGCUAGUAAUCGUAGAUCAGCAUGCUACGGUGAAUACGUUCCCGGGUCU